rnacentral:misc_RNA from 1 species
UGUGGGAGCGAGCUUGCUCGCGAUAGCGUAAGGUCAGUCAGCAUCCAUGUUGGCUGGUACCCCGCCAUCGCGAGCAAGCUCGUUCCCACA